rnacentral:rRNA from 1 species
UUUUUAGAAGUAAAAGUCGUAACAAGGUUUCCGUAGGUGAACCUGCGGAAGGAUCAUUACCGAGAGAGGGGCUUCGCGCUCCCGGGGGCUUCGGUCCCCACCUCUUCAACCCUUUGAAUACCAACCUUCGUUGCUUUGGCGGGCCCUGGAGGUUUCCCCAGCGCGGCCCCGGGUUCAUCCCCGGGGAUCACGAGCGCCCGUCGGAGACCCUAAAAACGCUGUUUUUCUAUUGACGUCUGAGUUUACAACCAAAUCAAUCAAAACUUUCAACAACGGAUCUCUUGGUUCUGGCAUCGAUGAAGAACGCAGCGAAAUGCGAUAAGUAAUGUGAAUUGCAGAAUUCAGUGAAUCAUCGAAUCUUUGAACGCACAUUGCGCCCCUUGGUAUUCCGAGGGGCAUGCCUGUUCGAGCGUCAUUGCAUCUCUCAAGCUCCGCUUGGUAUUGGGCGUUCGUCCCCCGCUUCUUGGGGGGGGUCGCGCCCGAAAAAUAAUGGCCGUCCAGGGGUAGGAUAUCCUGCGUAGUAGCGAUUGCGUGUUCCUUCGGGGCCCGCUUUGAACCGCAGCGGAAAACCACCCUUGCGACCCGCCGGGGCGAAUUCGUCCCCGAACACUCUCCAAUGAUUGACCUCGGAUCAGGUAGGGAUACCCGCUGAACUUAAGCAUAUCAAUAGC